GACAGCGUGCCAGAGUGGUUAAUGGGUAUGACUCGAACGUCUUUACGUAAUCAUAUGGCUUCGGCCGCGCAGGUUCGAAUCCUGCCGCUGUCG